rnacentral:rRNA from 1 species
AUGAAUGAGCGUUUGUUGGCUCCCUUUUCAGAUAACGAAAUUUCCGAUGCCCUGUUUCAAAUAGGCCCGCUGAAGGCACCCGGGCUAGAUGGUUUUCCAUCUCAUUUUUAUCAGAGAAAUUGGGGUUGUUUAAAGGAAGAAAUCAUAGCAGCCGUAAGGAAUUUCUUUGUGUCUGGGUGUAUGCCUAGUGGGGCAAAUGGCACGUCCAUUGUGUUAAUCCCCAAGGUCCAACAUCCUGCUUCUCUUAAGGAUUUCUGCCCUAUUUCUUUAUGUAAUGUGGUCUACAAGAUAGUCUCAAAAUGUUUGGUUAAUCGACUUCGUCCACUACUUCCAGAUCUUAUUUCUGAGAAUCAAAGUGCUUUCAUUCCAGGCCAAUUAAUUUCAGAUAAUUCCAUCAUUGCCUUCGAAUGUAUCCAUCAUACCCAAGCUUCAUCCAAUGGUGGUAAGUUCUGUGCCUAUAAGCUGGAUCUUUCGAAGGCCUAUGACCGUGUUGAUCGGGUAUUCCUGGAACGAGCAUUAUUGAAGUGGGGCUUUGCACCCCAAUGGGUCUCUCAGGUUAUGGAAUGUGUAAGCUCUGUGAAAUAUUCGGUGAAGUUUAAUGGUCGUCUUUUGGAGCAAUUUUCACCCUUCCGUGGAUUGCAACAAGGUGACCCCCUAUCUCCCUUCUUAUUCCUCUUUAUCGCUGAUGCUAUGUCAGCUCUGUUACAUAAUGCGGUUCAAAGAGGAGGUUUGGAGGCUAUCAAAAUUUGUAGAAGGGCGCCUGCUAUUUCACACUUGUUGUUUGCGGAUGACUCUCUAUUGUUCUUUCGUGCGACUAGUGAUCAAGCGGCGGUCGUCAAGGAUGUUCUGAACACUUAUGCUUCAGCGACGGGUCAACUCAUUAACCCUUCGAAGUGUUCCAUCAUAUUUUCUGAUGGAUGCCCUGGUCUAGUUGUAGAUGAGGUCAAACAUAUUUUGGAGGUUUCGCAACAGGAGUUCGAACCAAAAUAUCUGGGUCUUCCUGUCCCAGAGGGAAGAAUGCAUAAAGGGCGGUUCGAAUCUUUGCAGUCUAGAUUGAGCAAGAGAUUGGUAGAUUGGAGUGAGAAGUUCUCCUCACAUGCUAGUAAGGAGGUGUUAAUAAAAUCCGUUGCGCAAGCUAUUCCAGUUUACGUCAUGAGUAUCUUCAAGCUCCCAUUCUCUGUUUGUGAUGACUUAACAAAGAUGAUGAGACAAUAUUGGUGGGGUGUGGAGAAUGGUAGAAAGAAGAUGGCAUGGGUGGCUUGGGAUAAAUUAGUCUUGCCAAAGUCUAAAGGGGGCAUUGGCUUUCGGGAUAUGAGAGCUUACAACCAAGCUUUGCUGGCCAAGCAAGCUUGGAGGCUUUUAACAGCCCCAGAGUCACUUUCUGCGAGGCUCCUUUGA